GCCGGGCGUGGUGGCUCAUGCCUGUAAUCCCAGCUACUUGGAAGGCUGAGGCAGGAGAAUCGCUUGAACCCAGGAGGCAGAGGUUGCAGUGAGCCGAGAUCAUGCCACUGCACUCCAGCCUGGGCAACCGAGUGAGACACUUUUUUUUUUUUUUGAGACAGAGUCUUGCUCUGUCGCCUAGGCUGGAGUGCAGUGGCACGAUUUCGGCUCACUGCAGCCUUGACCUCCUGGGCGCAAGCGAUCCUCCCACCUCAG
rnacentral:SRP_RNA from 1 species